AUUGAACGCUGGCGGCAGGCCUAACACAUGCAAGUCGAGCGGAUGAAGGGAGCUUGCUCCUGGAUUCAGCGGCGGACGGGUGAGUAAUGCCUAGGAAUCUGCCUGGUAGUGGGGGAUAACGUCCGGAAACGGGCGCUAAUACCGCAUACGUCCUGAGGGAGAAAGUGGGGGAUCUUCGGACCUCACGCUAUCAGAUGAGCCUAGGUCGGAUUAGCUAGUUGGUGGGGUAAAGGCCUACCAAGGCGACGAUCCGUAACUGGUCUGAGAGGAUGAUCAGUCACACUGGAACUGAGACACGGUCCAGACUCCUACGGGAGGCAGCAGUGGGGAAUAUUGGACAAUGGGCGAAAGCCUGAUCCAGCCAUGCCGCGUGUGUGAAGAAGGUCUUCGGAUUGUAGAGCACUUUAAGUCGGGAGGAAGGGCAGUAAGUUAAUACCUUGCUGUUUUGACGUUACCAACAGAAUAAGCACCGGCUAACUUCGUG
rnacentral:rRNA from 1 species